GACAAGAAAUAACAAUACAGGGCUUUCGUCUUGUAAUUGGAAUGAUGGUGAUGUACAACCUCACCAGAGUACCAAUUGGAGGGCAAGUCUGGUGCCAGCAGCCGCGGUAAUUCCAGCUCCAAUAGCGUAUAUUAAACUUGUUGCAGUUAAAAAGCUCGUAGUUGUAUUUCAGCCUCGCGUUUUUUCCCUCUUUUCGGGUCUUUUCGCUGGCUUUGUUUUUACUUUGAGAAAAUUAGAGUGUUUCAAGCAGACUUUUGUCUUGAAUACCUCAGCAUGGAAUAAUAGAGUAGGACCUUGGUUCUAUUUUGUUGGUUUCGAGCCUUGGUAAUGGUUAAUAGGAACGGUUGGGGGCA
rnacentral:rRNA from 1 species